GGGGGCAGGCCGUGCCCCGACACUAGGGACGCCCCCGCCAACCGUCGCGGUCCGCAGACCCCCGGGGGCUAGGAGCGAGGACCCCGAGGAGCAGCACACAGUGCGAGGAGCUGGAGGCCGCGUGGAGUGGGGGGCUGGGGGCCUCGCGAGGACAAAGGAGGAUGUGGGUCGUUACAGUGAAAUGUGCGGAGGCGGGGGUUGGAGAGGGCGUAUUCGUAAUUCCACCCUGCGCUCCUCCGGAGCCCGCUGCUGCCCUUUCAGGCAUCGUUCUCAGCCCUUCACAUGUAUGAAGCUCACUUGCCUCUCAAGACAGCAGCAUGAGGUACUAGGAAGUAUUGGUACUCUGCUUUUAUAAAUGGCAGACAGGAGAAAACUUGGACCAGCCAUCCUCUGAAGACAGUUACAAAAGCUGGACAAGAUAAGUGAAAAGUAUCAUCUUGAAGAUGUCAAGAGUGCUUACCAAGCCCAUUAUGGAGGCCCCGCAAGACCUGGCCUAUGCUACCAAAUAUCAUGGACGCCAGCAUUCAACCAGAUGUGGGACCCGCAGAGGCCCCUUGUGCCUUUCUGCACGUGGCGCGUGCAGUCCAAGGGAACGUGCUUAGGGCCAAGCAGAGAAAACCAAAGCUGCAUCCCGCCUGAUCAGCCACACAGGACCCCCCACUUCGGUUAGCCCACAUCUUUCCCAGGCCACCGGCGUCCAUCAGGGUCCACCUGACACUUUCCUGUUCUCCACCAUGAAGCUCUCUCACUCCUCGGCCUGCCUUGGGGUCUCUGCCAAAACUAGUGAUGGUGGUCAAGUCCCCUGCUGGGGCAAGCUCAGAAUAAACAACC